rnacentral:misc_RNA from 1 species
AUCGUUUCAUGUCGCAUUUGGCCUGUCGGAGCGGUUCAUUCAUUUCUAUUUCGCCUUCGAUCGAGUGUUUAGUGAAUUGUCGACGUCGUGCGCUGUGCGAAUCGGGAAAAUCGGAGUCUUCGUCGUUGAGAUUGUGAAAUGCCAAAAUGUUUUGUUUUGUUCUGGCCGCGAUCCGUUGAAAAGAUUUGACUCAAAUGAAAACUUUCGAGGUUGGUUCGAUUUUCGCAGUCGUCCAAGUGUAGAGGAUUUUGUUGGAAAUUGUCGGGAAAACCUGUAGUUGGUCUUGCGCUUCCGCUUUGCAAUUUGCAUUGGUUUGUCUCGCGGUUUUUGCAGCUUCAUUGGAUUCGGGUGGAGUUUUGAGUGGUCUCGUUUUCUUGUCUGCUGUCGGGGCCAGUGCGUUGUCAAGUGUUUUGGUGUCGUUUGCCUUGUGAACGGGAGGACUCGUAAUCAUCCAUCGAACGGCAGAGAGGAUUGGGCCGGAAAGCAAGAAGCCGCCCGUCGCGAGCUCGUCCAAAAAGUCCGAGGAAAUCAACCUCAAGUCGGCCGAGUAAAAGGUGAAAAAAAGAAGGUACGGGAAUUUGGGGCGUCUCUGGCUCUUCGGUGGCUGGUUUUCGAAAGCAGUCAUCGCCUCGCGUACUUGGUCACGGAAUUUGUGUAUUUUCGGUGGAGCGUGUGUGCACGGCGGCAGGGAGGCUGGUGCGAUUGCAUUUCGGUGUAAUUAAUUGGCGGAGUGGACACGGACCACGUUGGCCAGCGAACAAGGAAGAGGUGUGUAGCCCAUUGGACGGGAAGCAAGCGCAUUCCGAUCAUUCGGACGGGAACCGCAAAUUUUCUCUCUAGAAGAAAUUGAAAAAUUGCAAGAAAAGCUGCUUUUUCUCUUUGCCCCUUCUGGAAAGGAGGGAAAGGAAAAAUCGUCGCCGUCGUCGUUGCAGCGCUCUACUUGAUAUUUUUCUUCUCCGCGUUGUCAAUGAUAAUAAAAGUAUCAAUUAAAGCUGGCUUUAAAAAUCUUUACCCAUUGUCUGGAUAGUAAAGACAAACAGAAAAAGAUCCAAUUGAAUAUCGUACAUGAUAGCUCUCCAUGUGCAACAAUGGACAGAAGUGUGGAUUCGAUUGGAAGUUGCUCCCUAGACGUUGAUGCCGAUUCAACAGAUUUCUCAGACACGAGCGGAAGUCUAAAUUUAGCAACACCAUCAUCCGGAAAGGAUAUUCCACGCGAGUUUACAUCAAGGAUAAAGGAGCGUUGUCAGAUCACGACCCAAACCCAGAUCAAUUACAACUGUCACCAGCAAACAUCGGCUAUCCUAGACUUGAAUUCUGGGAAGAUUAGUACGAUAGUGUCGCCAGCUUGUAUCGUUGAAUCGCCGCUUGGCAGCCCCGUGAAGAAGCCUAGCUAUCUGAAUUUAGCUUGUUGUGUCAAUGGUUACUCGAACUUGACCACCUAUGAUUCAAAAUUACGGCAAAACAUCAAUAAAUCUCGAGAGGUAUCACCGAUUCGACCAGCAACAAAUAACAACUUACCAUCACAAAAUCAUAGGCUUUCGGGUAACUUUCUAGCGGUGCCGCUAACAUCGUACGGUCACAAAUCAGCAUCCUCGUCGCCGUCCUCGAGGGAAGGAGCAGCGAUGGAGAAUCGACACAUUUUCACCCAGGUCCAGAACGUAGACACAACCGACAAUGUCGGAAGUGAUAUAUAUUUUAAAUCAUCUAAAUUCAUAAGUACCACAAAUCUGAAGGGUGACCUCCAUGAAAAUGACACAUCGAAAACGACGAAGAGUUUCAUACAGCAGCGGGUGGAACGGCUGUAUGGUCCCGGUGCUCUGGCGCAAGGUUUCUACAGUCCGAAAAAGACACGGAGUCAGGAGCUCUCGAUUCUUUCGGAACGUUCGUCUAAUUCACAAGUGAAAUUCUCAUCGUCUAAAACGAUAACGACCUUCGAACGUGAAAUCACAUCGUCGUCAACGACAAUAAAUGGUAAGACCACGAUGACAAGUUCUUCGAGCUUAGACCGAACGACGGUUAGUCAAGGAACCGGCAACGAAAACUGUGAGAACAUCCAAAACGGUGGCGGACUAUGUGACCUUCCGGUCCUACGACAUUUAAGGCCUGAAUUUCGUGCUCAGUUGCCUAUCAUGUCGCCAAAACGCUCACCUAACAAAUUCUCACUAAACGAGUCAAGUUCAUGUCCCGUUUUGCAAAACGGUACCAGUGGACUGCACAUCAAUGGGGCCAGUAAUGGGAAUGGGAAUUUAAGUGUGAACUGUAAGGUCGAUGGAAACGAUAAACAGAAGACGGGAACGGCAAUUACUGUCCAUUAUAUCGCUGACACAGAAACUCCCAAGAAACAUUCAAGUCAAAUGAAUGGAAGUGCGAACAAUAGCCUAACAUCUGAUGGGAAAAUUAUCGCUCCGAAUUCAACGCCGGCGGUGGGAUCCGCCGAUAAAUCGUCAUCUGAUAUCAAAAUAUUGUCAGAAAAACUUACGCAAGAGAAAAGUGAAUGUGAUAAGCUAUCGUCAUUGAAGCAACAGUCGCUGGACACAGAAGCAACAGGUAAAACGUGUCAGAGUGGAAUCAAUGCCAUGACUGUGGAAGUGACUCAUUCUUCGCCAAAUCUUACGCAUGACAUCCCGGACAAAUCGGCAGGACCUUUGCUCGUACCAGUCACUGCUCCUUCACAAACAACCGACAAAUACUCAGAGGAAAGUGGUUGCAGUAGCAACAAUGUGUCUACCGUGCGCGACGGCAACUAUUUUCUUCAAAUACUUAAGACUGAACAGGAUCGUCUCCUAGCAUUGGCCGAUCAGGCAGAGAAGGAAUUAGAAACAUUAUUAGCGUCUUCUACAUGUUCUUCAACGACUACUGCUACGUCAACGGUGGAGGUGUCGGAUGAUGUUUUGGGUUACCUUCGAUCGGCAUCAGGGAAAGCACGCUUACUAGUGUCGCAAAAGAUGAAACAAUUUGAAGGUCUAUGUAGAAAUAAUUUGAAUCAGUUACCAGACGAGAAAUUCCCAACAACAAAUGAAGACCUGCAAGGAUUCUGGGAUAUGGUCAUGUUACAAGUAGCACACGUCGAUUCGCUUUUUAAAGAAAUCGAAACUCUGAAAGCGAACAAUUGGAAGAAACCAGUGCAACAAGUUCCUAGUGCACCGCAAGGUUCAAAGCUUACACGUAGGCCGAACACCGCAAAGUCAUCAUCCAGCUCCACCAAUGCUACAACAACCAAUGGCAACGCAGCUGCAGCUAAAAAGACGAACGCUUCGAGUUUAGCGGCACAGCGGCGUGAAGCGCAACGCAAGCAACUGAUGGAGCUGAAGCGCAAGAACAAGCUGGCCAUGUCUGCAGGCGAACAGCAGCAACCCAAUCAAAAUCAAGUGGUAGAAAUUUUUGUAAACGAGCAAUCCAAUAGCUGAUUAUCGAAAAUUAUUUGGUACAUUGUAUUUAAAGUGACUAAACAACAAGAAAGAUUACUAUUUAUACCACUUUUCCAUGAUUUUCUUCUCUUCUUCAGAAAAAAACAAGAAAUUUUCUAGAUUUUAACCGAACCAUGGAACGAAAUUUGUGGCUUUCCAAGAGUUUUAUUUCUAUUCUUCCUUUCAAAAUUCUCUAUUGCUAGCGAGACUUAGGAGAAGAGCGAUAAAAUGACUACUUAUACAAAGUGAUUUAAUUGACAAACUUUUCUACGAUUACAGUAACAACAGAAGCAUAACCUAAAGUUCUGUAUGGUAUGAAAUUAUCAAUCUAGAAUAAUCUAUAUUUAAUGGUAAACUUGAGGACGUUAAAAAUGUUAGGAAGGAAAGCAAUGACGUAAAAUGAAGAACAAAGCAAACGUUAGACCUAGAAAAAAAGGCAAAAAAUUGAAUCAAACUUUCACUAAUUCAGUAAUACUUGUAGUGGUCCUUGCGAAUUGAACAUGAAAUUAAACGAAUUCAAAAUAUAGAAAAAAACCAACACAUAUAUAUUUAUAAAACGUGUAUGUAAAAGUUUCUCUCAGAUAAUGCAAAAAACGGAUUUAUUUAUUUUCAAGCAACUCCAGUGUCACACAGUCUCGAAUAAUUUAAAUGAUAAUAAAAGAAAUUUAAUGUUAACUGAUUGAUGAACGUAUUGGAAUUUAAAUAUAUUUCUAUGAUAUUGUUAUUAACAUAAAUUUAUUUAAAUAAAAACAAAAACCAAUUUUAAUAUUA